UACAGAGGUCUCAAGCGUUGUCCGGAUUCAUUGGGCGUAAAGAGCUCGUAGGCGGCUGCUCAAGUCGAAUGUGAAAACUCGAGGCUCAACCUCGAGCCUGCAUUCGAUACUGGGUGGCUAGAGUCUGGUAGGGGGAUCUGGAAUUCCUGGUGUAGCGGUGGAAUGCGCAGAUAUCAGGAGGAACACCGGUGGCGAAGGCGGGAUCCUGGGCCAGUACUGACGCUGAGGAGCGAAAGCGUGGGGAGCAAACAGG
rnacentral:rRNA from 1 species